GACAGAGGGGGCAAGCGUUGCUCGGAAUCACUGGGCGUAAAGGGCGCGUAGGUGGCCCGGUCAGUUCGUGGUGAAAGCGCGGGGCUCAACCCUGCGUCGGCCAUGAAUACUGCCGCGGCUGGAGCACUGUAGAGGCAGGCGGAAUUCCGGGUGUAGCGGUGGAAUGCGUAGAGAUCCGGAAGAACACCGGUGGCGAAGGCGGCCUGCUGGGCAGUUGCUGACACUGAGGCGCGACAGCGUGGGGAGCAAACAGG
rnacentral:rRNA from 1 species